ACGAAUUUUUAAAAAUGAACGCAUUUCGUCUUUAUCCAGCAACUUCGGAGCGUCAAAUUGGCGAACAAGCAUGGGCGAAGACAUAGAAAUCAAGACCUAUCCCCACAUCCUCUUAAGUAUGUUUCUUCAAACAAUUUCAAAGUCUCAGUACUUGCAUCGGAGUUUACAAAGGAAUUGGUUAACAAAUUGCACUAGUUUUUACUCUUUAUGGCUCGCGCUCCUGUCUGUCGGAAGGAGGAUUGUUUUCCCUACGACAUUGGCUUAGUCUUCGACAAGAUCGCCAGAUAUUCGCCUCAGGACAAGUUGAAAUUCAUCGAAAAUGUAUGGAAACCAGGUGAGCUUUUCGAUUUCCCAGUGUCAAUAGAGAAUGGAAAAUCUCGCAAGUUUGUUUUAAACUGGCUAAAGAAAUAUCCAUGGCUAGCCUACUCUAAAUAUUACAAAGGAGUGUUUUGCUUAGAUUGUGUUUGUUUUGGAGUUCAGUGUGGGCGAAACGCUAAUAAGUUAGACAAAUUAUUAGAAGUCUCUUCUUACAAAUUGGACUACGGCCGCUUCGCUCUUUACAAAACAUGCGCAAGGAAAUUGUGAAAUUCGAAAAUUUUCUAUGAUUGCUAUAGAAGAAUUUAAGAAAAUGAUGCGAACAGAAGCUGUCCCGAUAAGAUUUAUUUGCUCAAUUGCACCCUAGGAGAAUGAGAAUGGCAAACAUAUUUAACUUAAAUUUUUGCACCAUCUGUUUCUAGAGGGCUUGUGAGUUAUGUUCCAUCUGGGUCUUACCCUUAAACUGAUGGAGAACAGCUACAGAAACUCAAACUGGUGCCUGUAUAACUUUAUUUAAAAGUCAUUUCUAAAUGUUUUUUUUAUUUAGUGAUGAUUUCAAUUUUUCUAUUGACACUGGGAUUUCGUGUUAAGCUCAAAUGGUUUACAAACAUUUCCCUGGGCUCCAGAAGCUGCAGUUUCAAAGGAUAAAAAAAGGGGAGUAUUUUUCAAAUUAUAUUCUUUUUAUAAUCAUUCAGUACUUCUCUCUUUUAAACUAUGGUAACAAUGUUGGAUUUUUCUCCAGAGCUCCAGUUACUGCAGUCCCCAAGGAUGAAAAAGGGGAGUUUUUAUUCAAAUUAUAUUGUCUGUAAUUUGUAAAUAUCUUUUGUAUAUGACAUAUGAUAUUAAUAUUGGAUUUGUUUUCUUAUUAUCUUGAAAACUCCUGGACCAAGGACCAACCACAGGCUUGCCAUCUAUAAGCACCAUUUUUCCUUCUGCUCAAAGACAGUUAUAUUGGACAUAGACCAGUGGCACCGGUUUGGAUACCAGAUAUUUUUUUUGUAGAGCAAGGUGUUCCAUGUACCAUCAUCAACAAAAUAAAACUUUUUUGCCUUUA